AAAUAAUACAAUUUUAAAAUUGGUUUGUUAUUAUUAAUGAAGUAGAAGUUUUGGAUAUGUCCUGAUGGACAUUUAGCAGAAGAUUGCAGUAUUGAUAGUUUUUUUUUAAAGAAAGUCAUUAGAAUUGUUGCUUUGCUGUUGUUGUUAAGUGUUAUUUAAAAGUAGAGAGGAAUAGUAGAUAUAAGAAAAUGCAGCAGGAGAUUAAAGGCAGAAGAAAAAAAGACAUCUUAGGAGAAUUUUUAUUUACUUCAUGCAAUAAGCAAUUUAGAUUCAUGCAGCUUUUUACUUUUUCAGUCAUUUUUUGACAUUGAAUAGCAGUGUAUUUAAGUGAGGGGAAAGAAUUAUAUUUGGAGACAAAGUGUUUUAUACUGGAAAAAUUUAAAAAAACCUUUAGAAAAUCACUUUUCCUAGGGAAUGUAGAAUUAACAGAGAACUAAGUAAAAUUAACCACUUAGUGACUACUUCCCUCAGCAGCUAUUUAAAUCCUGAUGUGGCACAAUAGAUCUUUUAGCUAAGGAUAUCAGAGGAACUUGUCAAUUUUGCUGGAGGGAAAGUCUUCAUUACAAAAGAAAUUAAGUAGUUGAUAUACCUCUCAGGAUAAACAACACAGAAAGAUAGAUAGACAUACGUGACACAGUAACAGAUGCUGGACAAGUUUCUGGCCUCCUACUGUGAAUAAGCACCUGUGUUUCUUUGCAGCAGAUAUUUUUUUCUGCUGUGCUCGGUCUGCCCAGGCUAGAAGCUCUGAGCAGUGAUGCCCCAAGAAGCAGUCCGCAACAAUAAUGACGGGACUUGAAGGAUAAAUACCUCGGCUGCCUUCAGUGGGAUAAUUCUGAGUAAGAGCUACAUUGAUGAGGAGGACACCAAUUUCUCUGAGGAUUCUGUGGUGGCUCUGUUGGAUUCGGAAAGAAGGAUAAGGUAUAUGAAGUCCACGGAAGUGCGUUAUUAUGCACUAUUUGGAAAGGAGGAAGCAGGAAGCUGGAAGAAGAAAACCAUGCCAUCAGGCAAGCAUGGCCACCGUACAGCCUGUUCUGCAGCAGCUUAAUAUGGGCACCCUGCACCACCAAAUAGUCCCAUUAGCCCCACAACUUUAUACCACACCUUUUGCUGUAUGGAUGCAGCCACCCAGCAAAGAGGAACAACUCCCUGUGGAUGCAAAACACUUAGGGGCCAGAACAACUGGUCAGCACAGUG